rnacentral:rRNA from 1 species
AAGUCGAGCGGAAGCGUUACGAAGGAAGUUUUCGGAUGGAAUUGGUAACGGUUUAGCGGCGGACGGGUGAGUAACACGUGGGCAACCUGCCUUAUACUGGGGGAUAACAGUUAGAAAUGACUGCUAAUACCGCAUAAGCGCCCAUCCCCGCAUGGGGAAGAGCGAAAAACUCCGGUGGUAUAAGAUGGGCCCGCGCCUGAUUAGGUAGUUGGUGGGGUAACGGCCUACCAAGCCGACGAUCAGUAGCCGACCUGAGAGGGUGACCGGCCACAUUGGGACUGAGACACGGCCCAAACUCCUACGGGAGGCAGCAGUGGGGAAUAUUGCACAAUGGGGGAAACCCUGAUGCAGCGACGCCGCGUGAGUGAAGAAGUAUUUCGGUAUGUAAAGCUCUAUCAGCAGGGAAGAAAAAAGACGGUACCUGACUAAGAAGCCCCGGCUAACUACGUGCCAGCAGCCGCGGUAAUACGUAGGGGGCAAGCGUUAUCCGGAUUUACUGGGUGUAAAGGGAGCGUAGACGGUGCGUCAAGUCUGAAGUGAAAGCCCGGGGCUUAACCCCGGGACUGCUUUGGAAACUGGCGCGCUAGAGUGCUGGAGAGGUAAGUGGAAUUCCUAGUGUAGCGGUGAAAUGCGUAGAUAUUAGGAGGAACACCAGUGGCGAAGGCGGCUUACUGGACAGUAACUGACGUUGAGGCUCGAAAGCGUGGGG